rnacentral:misc_RNA from 1 species
UGCGUAGCAGAACAACCAGUGAACUUGUUAUACCAUGCMAGGGGAAGGGGUGACGGCUUGCCAAGUCCCUUCCUCUAAUGUCAUGUGGCUUUCCUUUUGUGAAUACCGCAUGGCAAAAUAACAAACCCCCGGCGCGUUAUGCGUCAAGGAAUAUAUAAUCACGAUCUUGCCUAUCCAGAACCGGGUUUCCGGCAUAUGGGUGUGGCACCAACGUAAGUCAUGUAAUGA